UACGUAGGGUGCGAGCGUUGUCCGGAAUUACUGGGCGUAAAGGGCUCGUAGGCGGCCAACUAAGCCAGACGUGAAAUCCCUCGGCUUAACCGGGGAACUGCGUCUGAUACUGGAUGGCUUGAAUCCGGGAGAGGGAUGCGGAAUUCCAGGUGUAGCGGUGAAAUGCGUAGAUAUCUGGAGGAACACCGGUGGCGAAGGCGGCAUCCUGGACCGGCAUUGACGCUGAGGAGCGAAAGCCAGGGGAGCAAACGGG
rnacentral:rRNA from 1 species